UCUCUCUCUCUCUCUCUCUCUAUGUACUUACGUAUUUCCUAUACGCAAUAUAGUAUGCGCGUGCGCUAUUCUAGCGCGUAAACGGAAUUCACCUUCAUGUUAAAAUUCACGGUUCCCAUUUACCGUCAAAGUAUACAUUGCCAACGUUUGACGUAUCAUGAUAGAAGAAAUGAAAAUUAGUUAUGCCUGUGACGCGUUCGUCUCAUAAUGUAAAGGAACUGCUUGGUACUUCGUGCAAAGGAAUUACUUCCUUACCUAUAAAAUAAAGGAGUUAGAUUUUAAAUUGUUGCAAAAUUGAACGUUAGAAUCUUUUUACUCAUAGAUAAAUAGUUAUAGCAUGUAAAAUGUAGAAAUACUUAUUUGUAUACACGCUCCUAAGUUAUAGAUUAUUUAAAAGAUGAGGAGUAUAUGCGCGAAUCGUCCCUUAUACAGGUAUCAAUUUACUAAAAAACUGAUAAUUCUGCUUGAAAAAUAUACAUUAUAACGGUGAAAUUUAAAAAUUAUCGCUGCCUAUGCAUGAUACAAUUAUACAUCUAUUUUUUAAUAUAAUUUAUAUAUAUUAACCAUACAGUUAUAACGUCUUUUUUUCUGGUCAGUUUAAAUACAAUUGCUGUCAUACCAUAAAAGCUGUUUUAGAAAGUACAAAGUGCACAUCGCUAUGGUCAAACGCAGUUUCGGGAUUGUACUUUCUGACCUGCCGGUUAUGUACCGUCGCGGGUUAUGUACUGUCAGCUUAACAAUACGCACAAACAGGGUACAGUAAAUGGUAAUUCGGUAAGUGAUGGGUAAGGUAUUAAAAAUGUUCGCCAAACAAUGCCGAACUCAUCUGUUAAGAAACUUUCCAAUCAUUUCUAAGAACCUUCUAGAAGAAAUUCUUUCAA